rnacentral:precursor_RNA from 10 species
AAUAGGGCCAAAAUUAUGUAACUGCCUUCAGCACCACGAGCUUUUUGGAAUGUUAACGUUCAUUACAGAAAGCGUGUGUGUGCUAAAGUUAGUGAUCGCAACUUCAAUUCAUAAU